CAGUAGCCACGGUAAUACGAAGGGGGCUAGCGUUGUUCGGAUUAACUGGGCGUAAAGGGCGCGUAGGCGGGUUUUUAAGUCAGAGGUGAAAUCCCAAGGCUCAACCUUGGAACUGCCUUUGAUACUGGAAGUCUUGAGUCCGGGAGAGGUGAGUGGAACUGCGAGUAUAGAGGUGAAAUUCGUAGAUAUUCGCAAGAACACCAGUGGCGAAGGCGGCUCACUGGCCCGGUACUGACGCUGAGGCGCGAAAGCGUGGGGAGCAAACAGGAUUAGAGACCCCAGUAGUCCCUGUCUCUUAUAC
rnacentral:rRNA from 1 species